CAUUGUGCAGAAUAUUAGACCCCUAGUUGAAGGUGCAGAAUUAGAUUCUCCAUUCUGGAAGUUGGAAACAAGGGGACAUUUUUUAGUGAAAUCUGCAUGGGAGUACCUGCGAAGAAGAGACAUUCCUAGGAUAGCUUACAAGAUGAUAUGGGUCAAAGGCUUACCAUUCAAGAUAUCCUUCUUGCUAUGGAAGGUGUGGAAAGCCAAACUGCCACUUGAUGAUUUCUUGCGUAGAAUAGGAUACUCCAUGGCAUCUAAAUAUUGGUGCUGUGAAGAACCUAAGGAGGAGUCCUUAGUACAUUUGUUUUUCACAUCCAAUGCAGCUAGAAGUGUUUGGAGUUACUUCCUGAGGAGGGCAGGAAUUGCACUAGAUGGAUAUUCUUUACAACAAGCAAUUACAAAGUGCUGGACGUCAUCAGUUGUUCAUAGAUUGAAGCCAGUCUUGCAAGCCUUACUUGCAUGUAUUGUAUGGGAAUUAUGGAAGAGAAGAAACAGCUUUAAGUAUGGAGAAGCAGUGUCAGUAACAAGAGUUAUUUAUGAUGUGUCAUCUACGCUACAAGCUCUAGUCCAACUGAGAAAACCAGGACUACAAGUGCCUCACAAGUGGCUGGACCUGCUGACAAUGAUGGAGAAAUACACACCUCGAUUGAAAUAUGAUAAAGUGCUAUGGGAAUUUCCUCCAACAGGCAGGAUCAAAGUGAAUACUGAUGGAGCAUGAAGAAGGAACCCAGGGAGGAGUUCAAUUGGUUUUUGUUUAAGAGACGAGAUAGGUGAUUUGAUAUAUGCAGGAGGAAGAGAAAUUAAGGAGGGUUCAAACAAUGAAGCUGAGGCGACAACAAUAGUAGAGGCAAUGAAAAUGUGAAAAUCAAUGAAUCUCCAUAAUGUUUGGCUUCAGACAAAUUCAAUGAUACUUCAAAAGAUCAUAGAUGGAUAGUGGAAACCACCUUAGAAUAUUGUGGAUGCCGUGGAGGAAAUCAACAGACUCAAAAUGGGGCAUAAUUUCAAGAUAUCUCACUUUUUCAGACAGGGAAACAAACUAGCAGACCACCUUGCAAAUUAUGCACUUGACAGUGGCAACAUAGAGAGUUAUGAUAUCCGGGAACUUGAUUCGACGAGCAGAAGGUUGGUUAAUGAGGAUAAGCUUCAAUGUCCAAGUCUGAGAAUAAUCGUUGCAAGAAAUUAGCGAAGGAUGCGGAUGAAACAAAAGCAAUCAACAAUACUACAACAUGCCGUCUCCAAGUUCGACCACAUUAGAAUAUGGAGAUAACUUUUUUCAUUAACAUUUGCUUCCUUUUUGGGAACUUGAUGUGUCGAGCAGAAGGUUGGUUAAUGAGGAUAAGGUUCAAUGUCAAAACCUGAGAAUAACAGUUGCAAGAAAUUAGAGAAGGAAAGGGAAGAAGCAAAAGCAAUCAUAAUUAAUACAACAUGCAGUAACCAUGAUCGACCAGAUUUGAACAUGUAGAUAACAUUUUAUACUAACAUUUGUUUCCUUUUUGCAGGUUCUAAAUUUAUACAGCUAUUCUUUGCUGUCAAGAUAUCUCCAGUGAUUGUAGUAACGCAAUGCAUUUAUACCAAUGGAAGUAACUUGCAGAGGGACAAUGGUACAAAUCAUGUAAGCGUCAAACAAGAUAACAAGGUUACGUCAUCAAGAUUCCUCAACAUAAAAGAAGACAUCUGCACCAAAAAUACUGCACACACACAUGCACAUUACUGGAAUGCAAAUUUCUUAAUGAAGAAAAGGAAUGGUUUUAGUUCUCGGCUGCAAUGAGUUUUCACAGCC
rnacentral:lncRNA from 1 species